rnacentral:tRNA from 1 species
GAAAUAGCUGAGUCAGUAGAGCAUGAGACUCUUAAUCUCAGGGUUUGUGGGUUUGAGCCCCAUGUUGGGCA